UUUCCAUUUUUUUUUGUUUGUGUUUUCACUUUCCCAAUUGUUGAAAAUGAAGCGAGAAGAAGAAGAGGGAGGACGAAUGGUUGUGUGUGGGAAAACACACAAACAAAACCAAAAAGAAAACA
rnacentral:ribozyme from 13 species